GUUGAUUCCAACCUGCCAAACAUGUCUUUAACAUAGAACUUCAGACUUUGUUUUGAUGCAAUUUUGACAAUAAUAGUAUUUCAAGAACUAGUCAAUACCAUUACCAACAAAUGAUUUUGACAAAAUUAAUUUAGCUUGCACUUAGUUCACGUUUUCUUAGUAUCAAAGUUUGAUCAAGUUGGUGGAUUGACCUCUAGGGCAACAACCUAACUAAGAAGCUCUACUGUUAUGGUUUUAGAUGAUUGUAAAGUAUAAAAUCUUCACAACUAGCAAUUUAAACAUUUAAAAUUUCAUUUGCCCAUUGCAAUGGGGGAAUUUUGGACUUGGUUUAUAUUGAUCCCCUUCCACAUGAUGAUGUGGGCAAGUGUUUGGUGCUCCACCACCAGCAACAUCGGAAGUUGUUAUAUAAGAUUAGUAAUAGUAUUUCUGUCUCUCGCUUGAGUUGUUUUGUCAUACUAAGUUAUGCAUAUGCUAUUUUACAGGGUAUGAUAUGUUAAUCACAGUGACUGGUACAUUUGAUGGACAAAUUAUAAUGAUUGAACUGGAUAUUCAAGAGCUUUUACUUCCUGUCAACAUAGUUUCCAAUGACAAGUAUAGUUUGGUUUCUUCCAUCACUCUUCCCAGGUUGCAACUAGAUAAUUGUAAUAUGUUGGUUUCAUGCUCCUUGGGUUGUCAAUUUGGUUUUCUGGUCCCGUUUUGUUUCAAGGUAUGUCGAUUUUCCAUUUGGCUUUUGUGAUUUGGUACGAUAACUUUGGUGUUUAUUGGUCUUGGGAGUGGCAUUGGCACUUGUAUUUUAAUCCUACAUUAUGGUAGCAUUGAUUUUGCCCAUAUCAAUUUUCGCCACUAAUUAGAGUUUUGACUUUUUUUGAGUUCACAUUCUUUUUACAAUUUAACAAGUGUUUCACUUUGUUAAUUUUCAGAUUUAAAUGCAUCGUUGGUUUGAUGGA